rnacentral:rRNA from 1 species
AGUGAACGCUGGCGGUAGGCCUAACACAUGCAAGUCGAACGGCAGCACAGUAAGAGCUUGCUCUUACGGGUGGCGAGUGGCGGACGGGUGAGGAAUACAUCGGAAUCUACUUUUUCGUGGGGGAUAACGUAGGGAAACUUACGCUAAUACCGCAUACGACCUACGGGUGAAAGCAGGGGAUCUUCGGACCUUGCGCGAUUGAAUGAGCCGAUGUCGGAUUAGCUAGUUGGCGGGGUAAAGGCCCACCAAGGCGACGAUCCGUAGCUGGUCUGAGAGGAUGAUCAGCCACACUGGAACUGAGACACGGUCCAGACUCCUACGGGAGGCGGCAGUGGGGAAUAUUGGACAAUGGGCGCAAGCCUGAUCCAGCCAUGCCGCGUGGGUGAAGAAGGCCUCCGGGUUGUAAAGCCCUUUUGUUGGGAAAGAAAAGCAGCAGGUUAAUACCCCGCUGUUCUGACGGUACCCAAAGAAUAAGCACCGGCUAACUUCGUG